AUCAAACCCUCCUAGGGUUUACCGUCGCGCUCCUCUGUAUAUAAGUAAAAGCAAAACUCCUCAAUCGCAAGGGAAGGUUCUCGAUUUUCCAAACGGCGACGGAAAUGCAUGGCAAACCAAUGUAGUGAAUAAUUCUAAAUCUUCAGGGAACGAAAAACUCUACCAUUACUUUUCUCUCUGCUCCGAAUGCACCGAUUGUCAUCGAAGGACAAAUCAGAGUUACCUUUUAUUUACCCAAACAGUCCAAGGGAACCCUAUCCAUAACUUUUUCCCUCUACCUGUUUGAAAGC